GACAGAGGGGGCGAGCGUUGUCCGGAAUUAUUGGGCGUAAAGAGCUCGUAGGCGGCCUGUUGCGUCCGCUGUGAAAGCCCGGGGCUUAACCCCGGGUCUGCAGUGGAUACGGGCAGGCUAGAGGUAGGUAGGGGAGAAUGGAAUUCCCGGUGUAGCGGUGAAAUGCGCAGAUAUCGGGAGGAACACCGGUGGCGAAGGCGGUUCUCUGGGCCUUACCUGACGCUGAGGAGCGAAAGCGUGGGGAGCGAACAGG
rnacentral:rRNA from 1 species